rnacentral:rRNA from 1 species
UACAGAGGUCCCAAGCGUUGUUCGGAUUCAUUGGGCGUAAAGGGUGCGUAGGCGGCGCGGUAAGUCGGGUGUGAAAUCUCGGGGCUUAACUCCGAAACUGCAUUCGAUACUGCCGUGCUUGAGGACUGGAGAGGAGACUGGAAUUUACGGUGUAGCGGUGAAAUGCGUAGAUAUCGUAAGGAAGACCAGUGGCGAAGGCGGGUCUCUGGACAGUUCCUGACGCUGAGGCACGAAGGUCAGGGGAGCAAACGGGAUUAGAACCUACGUGU